GGCAGAGUGUACAAGGGCGUGCUCAGGGCAAGUGAAGCAUUUUAAAAGCUUUUGGAUUGGAUGUUUUUCUUUUUUUCAGUGCUCCAAAAGUAAAAGGAAGAAUGAAUUGGAUUUCUCUGAUGGAUGUUCUUAAAGGCUCACAAUAACAGGAGAUCACCUGCACUUGUGAGCAGCGAUAGUGAGAGGGAUGAAGCCAUUUCUGCUACUAUUAGAGUUAAUGGGGGACAUGACUGGGCAGGAACCAUCCCAGGAGUGGACCUACAAAGACACUACUGUGGGCCAGCUCCCUGAGAAAGCUGAUGGCAAUUUCCAGCACAACCCACAUAAGAACAAAUGUGAAGCACCUGGGCACCUUACACUGGUGAAAUCCUGUUCCCAGGAACCCUGAACCCAGGCUGUGGC
ensembl:lncRNA